rnacentral:rRNA from 1 species
UACGUAGGGUGCGAGCGUUAUCCGGAAUUAUUGGGCGUAAAGAGCUCGUAGGCGGCUUGUCACGUCGGGUGUGAAAGCCCGGGGCUUAACCCCGGGUCUGCAUUCGAUACGGGCUAGCUAGAGUGUGGUAGGGGAGAUCGGAAUUCCUGGUGUAGCGGUGAAAUGCGCAGAUAUCAGGAGGAACACCGAUGGCGAAGGCAGGUCUCUGGGCCACUACUGACGCUGAGAAGCGAAAGCAUGGGGAGCGAACAGG